AUGGCGACGGGGGCGGUGCUCUCCUCCUCCUCUUCUUCACCAGCAGCAGCAGGAAAGCAUGACACCAUGAUGAUGAUCAGCUACUCCUCUACGUCGUCGCCGCGCACCAGGUGGCCGGUGUGCUCCCAGCUGGUUGCCGGAGACAGAAACGGAGGGACCGGCCGGCAUGUCGCCAGGAGCACCGGGAACCAACUCUCUGCCCACAUUCAGCAGCCUCUGCUAAACUCUCCUCCAAUGAGGCUCUGCAACAACAAUGCAGGCCUGCUGAAGAGGAGGCUCCUGUCAAGGGUCGACUGCUUCCUACUGUCCUCCGACCCUGUUACAAAUGGCUGGCAGAAACCCAGGAACCUCGCCGGCCUCGACAGCGCCGGCGUGCUGCAGCCCGAGUACAGGGCGCCCGUCAGAAAGCAGCGCGGAGACUGCAGGGCCGAGCAGUACGAGAUGACCGGGGCGCCAAUGGGCGACGUCCCCGCCGAGGCGGCCGUCCUGGUCGGAGGAGACGCUGCUAGCCCAGAGGCCGUUUCUUCUCCCGCGUGGUGGCAGCAGUUCCCCAAGCGCAUGACCAUCGUCGUCCUCUGCUUCUUCUCCUUCCUGCUCUGCAACAUGGACCGUGUCAACAUGAGUAUCGCCAUCCUGCCAAUGUCAGCAGAGUUCGGCUGGAGCCCGGCAACCGUUGGCCUCAUCCAGUCUUCUUUCUUUUGGGGUUACCUUCUCACUCAGAUUCUUGGAGGCAUUUGGGCUGACCGGUUUGGCGGCAAGGUGGUGCUUGGGUUCGGGGUUGUAUGGUGGUCUAUUGCAACAAUUCUUACACCAUUUGCUGCCAAGCUUGGCCUUCCGUUCCUACUCGUCGUGCGUGCUUUCAUGGGGAUAGGCGAGGGUGUCGCCAUGCCGGCCAUGAACAACAUCCUUUCCAAAUGGAUCCCGGUUUCAGAGAGGAGCAGAUCUCUUGCAUUAGUAUACAGUGGAAUGUACCUUGGUUCAGUUACCGGCCUAGCCUUCUCACCUUUCCUGAUAAGCAAAUUCGGCUGGCCUUCUGUUUUCUACGGAUUUGGGUCCCUGGGAAGCAUCUGGUUUACACUGUGGCAACUCAAAGCACGCAGCUCCCCGAGCGAAGACCCGGAAGUAACCGAAGAUGAGAAGAGGCACAUACUAGGUGGUAGUACCAUAAAGGAGCCUGUUAGCUCCAUACCAUGGAAGUUAAUCCUAUCAAAGCCUGCAGUAUGGGCUCUCAUAGUAUCCCAUUUUUGCCAUAACUGGGGAACAUUCAUCCUCCUAACAUGGAUGCCCACAUACUACAAUCAGGUUCUGAAGUUCAAUCUCACCGAGUCCGGGCUUCUCUGUGUCUUGCCAUGGCUGACAAUGGCCGUGUUUGCAAAUAUUGGUGGCUGGAUAGCUGACACACUUGUCGCGAAAGGGGUUUCGAUAACAAAUGUUCGCAAGAUCAUGCAAUCUAUCGGUUUUCUUGGACCGGCCUUGUUCCUGACGCUGCUGAGCAAAGUCCGCACACCGGCCAUGGCGGUGCUGUGUAUGGCAUGCAGUCAGGGGAGUGAUGCUUUUUCACAGUCUGGGCUGUACUCGAACCACCAGGAUAUAGGACCGCGCUACGCGGGGGUGCUUCUUGGGCUGUCGAACACCGCCGGCGUGCUUGCAGGAGUUUUUGGUACUGCUGCCACUGGCUACAUUCUUCAGAAAGGCUCUUGGGACAGUGUGUUCCAGGUGGCUGUUCUGCUGUACAUAGUAGGGACAGUGGUGUGGAACGUCUUUUCGACCGGAGAGAGGAUCCUCGAAUAA
rnacentral:rRNA from 1 species